UUGUAAUAGUGUGUGAAUUUAUUUCGUUCGAAAAUUGUUAAAAUUGUUAUUCCUCCGAUCGGAGGUCCCUCAGGUGCUCGCUCACGGGUGGGGCCGUGAGGGCCGUUUGUUAACUAGCAAACGCGAUCGUGUUCGACGAAACGCUAACUUCCAAAUCCAUUCAGAAGAGACAAAUGUCGCGAUAAUUCGUUUCGAGACGCUACGAUGCAAAAAAUCGCGAUGUGCCCAUCUGAGUUGUUGUUGGGACCCGAGGCCGAUGGUUGCAGCUGCGGCAUGGGCGUCUGAAAUGUCGAAGGGCAAGCUACUGCAACGCGAUUUUGUGUGGACGCGACGUUAAUGCAAUGAACAGAAAUAUAUGAUAUCUGUUGUGCAAUCUCUUCUGAAUUUGGUGCUGCAUACUUCGCCUCGAUGAUUCGUCGAGCUGGAAAUCCUUGAGCUCACGGUGCAACAUUAUGCAUUGUAUCUUUAGAUCAGACAACACUGUAAAAUAGAAACGAAAUUUCUGUGCUGCAGUUCUGUAGCUGUAAUUCAGUAA